CAAAGUCCUUCCAUGUAUCUGCCUUCAUCCACAAGUUCAAAAACAAGGAGGAAGAUUAGCAAGUUCAUGAACAAAAUAAAAGGGUAAAUUUUGACUCUGUUCUUGUUCAGAUUCCACAUAAUCUUCUUCUAUCGUAAGAACAAUUUACGAAUCAAAAUUCUUGAUUGGGGAAAAAACAGAGGAAACCCUAGAGUACAGUGAGAUUGUAAACUAUGGGUGAAGCGAAAGAGAGGAACUUGGAGUGUUUACCUGAAGAGAAAUCUUGCUGGGUG